UACAGAGGUCUCAAGCGUUGUUCGGAUUCAUUGGGCGUAAAGGGUGUGUAGGUGGCGCGCUAAGUCGGGUGUGAAAUUUCGGAGCUUAACUCCGAAACUGCAUUCGAUACUGGCGUGCUUGAGGACUGGAGAGGAGACUGGAAUUCAUGGUGUAGCAGUGAAAUGCGUAGAGAUCAUGAGGAAGACCAGUGGCGAAGGCGGGUCUCUGGACAGUUCCUGACACUGGAGACACGAAGGCCCAGGGGGAGCAAACGGG
rnacentral:rRNA from 1 species